rnacentral:rRNA from 1 species
GAGAGAGACAUGCGCGCAUAUCAAUAAGCGGAGGAAAAGGAAACUAACAAGGAUUCCCCUAGUAACGGCGAGUGAAGCGGGAAGAGCUCAAAUUUGAAAUCUUAAAGGGUUUCCCUUUACGAAUUGUAGUUUAAAGAAGUGUUUUCUGUUGAGGUUUUGGUAAAAGUUCUUUGGAAUAGGACAUCAUAGAGGGUGAGAAUCCCGUAUUUGACCUUUACUUUCAACUUUGUGAUACACUUUCAAAGAGUCGGAUUGUUUGGGAAUGCAGUCCAAAAUGGGUGGUAAAUUUCAUCUAAAGCUAAAUAUUGGCGAGAGACCGAUAGCGAACAAGUACCGUGAGGGAAAGAUGAAAAGAACUUUGAAAAGAGAGUUAAACAGUACGUGAAAUUGUCAAAAGGGAAGCGUUUGACACCAGUGUUGUUUUUCUGAAAAUCAAUUAAAGAACUGUUUAUGCUAAGUUGUUUAGACUUUAUCAGGCUAACUGUUUAGUUUUGAGCUUUUCUUUAAUGCACUUUUCAGUUAACAAGUCAACAUCAAUUUCUUUUGCUGUAAAAAAGCUUGAGGAAGGUGGCUUGAGAUUCGUCUUAAGUGUUUAUAGCCUCUUGCCUAUGCAGUCGGAGAGAUUGAGGUCUGCAGCGUAGAUCCUUCGGGGCUAAAUGCAUUUGUGCUAAGUUAUAGCAUUUUAUAGACAACUUGUUGACUAUGAUUUGUCUUGUAGCUUACUCGCUUAUGUUAUUUUACCUACGCUUAGGAUGUUGAGCGCAUGUCUCUCUCU